rnacentral:rRNA from 1 species
AUUGAACGCUGGCGGCAUGCCUUACACAUGCAAGUCGAACGGCAGCGCGGGGCAACCUGGCGGCGAGUGGCGAACGGGUGAGUAACAUAUCGGAACAUACCCUAGAGUGGGGAUAACGUAGCGAAAGUUACGCUAAUACCGCAUACGCACUAAGGUGGAAAGUGGGGGAUUCGCAAGAACCUCAUGCUCAUGGAGUGGCCGAUAUCUGAUUAGCUAGUUGGUGAGGUAAAGGCUCACCAAGGCGACGAUCAGUAGCUGGUUUGAGAGAACGACCAGCCACACUGGAACUGAGACACGGUCCAGACUCCUACGGGAGGCAGCAGUGGGGAAUUUUGGACAAUGGGGCAACCCUGAUCCAGCAAUGCCGCGUGAGUGAAGAA